rnacentral:rRNA from 2 species
CAGAAAGCCACGGCUAACUACGUGCCAGCAGCCGCGGUAAUACGUAGGUGGCAAGCGUUAUCCGGAAUUAUUGGGCGUAAAGCGCGCGUAGGCGGUUUCUUAAGUCUGAUGUGAAAGCCCACGGCUCAACCGUGGAGGGUCAUUGGAAACUGGGGAACUUGAGUGCAGAAGAGGAGAGUGGAAUUCCAUGUGUAGCGGUGAAAUGCGCAGAGAUAUGGAGGAACACCAGUGGCGAAGGCGGCUCUCUGGUCUGUAACUGACGCUGAUGUGCGAAAGCGUGGGGAUCAACAGGAUUAGAUACCCUGGUAGUCCACGCCGUAAAACGAUGAGUGCUAAGUGUUAGGGGGUUUCCGCCCCUUAGUGCUGCAGCUAACGCAUUA